rnacentral:rRNA from 1 species
UACGGAGGGGGCAAGCGUUGUUCGGAAUUACUGGGCGUAAAGGGCUCGUAGGCGGCCAACUAAGUCAGACGUGAAAUCCCUCAGCUUAACUGGGGAACUGCGUCUGAUACUGGAUGGCUUGGAUUCGGGAGAGGAAUGCGGAAUUCCAGGUGUAGCGGUGAAAUGCGUAGAUAUCUGGAGGAACACCGGUGGCGAAGGCGGCAUUCUGGACCGAUAUUGACGCUGAGGAGCGAAAGCCAGGGGAGCAAACGGG